rnacentral:rRNA from 1 species
UACGGAGGGCGCAAGCGUUGUUCGGAAUUACUGGGCGUAAAGCGCGUGUAGGCGGCCAGGUAAGUCGGAUGUGAAAGCCCGGGGCCCAACCCCGGAACUGCACCCGAUACUGCCCGGCUGGAGUCCCGGAGAGGAUGGCGGAAUUUCCGGUGUAGAGGUGAAAUUCGUAGAUAUCGGAAGGAACACCAGUGGCGAAGGCGGCCAUCUGGACGGUGACUGACGCUGAGACGCGAAAGCGUGGGGAGCAAACAGGAUUAGAAACCCCCGUAGUCC